rnacentral:lncRNA from 1 species
GUCCUUUCCUCUUGAGAACCUGUGUCUUCACGCUGGCGCACUCUGGCUGAGUUCUCCUAACCUGGACCUGGGACCACAUGCCAUUAAGCACAUGUACCACACAUGUCAGGCAUAUCUGCACAGGGCAUUCUGAGGCCACAGGAGGAAUGAGAUUUGUUCUCUACUGGAAUGACAGUGGGAGUGGCAAGCCAUUUCUUCUCCCACUGCCAAUGCAGAGACACCCAUGCUGUCUCUGGCCUCCUGGAAUCAGCUUCCAGCUUCACUGGUUGCUGUUUGGUGCCAGAAGACUGCCUGUGACAGGAGAACAGCCUGGAGAACCCAGUCUUUUCUGGAAUUGUUCUUGCUCAGGUGGCAGACAGGGGCCACUCUCGAAGAAUCUGGCUUUUCCUCACAAGUCAGCAGUUCCCCUAGAGAAGAAACACCCGGGCUUGGCCAGCUUUGCUGGGCUGCUUGCCAUUCUCCUCUCACUUCACAUUCUGUCCUGCACUUUGUGCCAUGCCAUUUUCUUUCUCAGUGGAAUUCAAGCUCUGUGUAUACAGCAAGACGGAGGAGCGGCUGGUGGCACUCUCUGCAGUGGCAGAUGACACUGGGGAACUGGAAGUCCAUGUUGCCACAGAAUUUUGGAAGGCUGUUGAAUAGAUAAAAAUCAACGAUGAGACUGACUGCUCACUUUCCAGUCCUGGGCAUCCAGGAGAGCUGCAGACUUCUGUCUGGAACUUACUGAGGCUUCUUUGGGGCAAUAAUUCAAUACGAGAAGAAUGAUAUUCAUCAAUCAGGCAUGCUAGCUCUGCAUGUUUCAUCUAAAGCCCCUGUGAAAGCUGGCCCUGGAAUGAAU